GACAGAGGGUGCAAACGUUGUUCGGAAUUACUGGGCGUAAAGCGUGCGCAGGCGGCCUUGCAAGUCGGGCGUGAAAUCCCACGGCUCAACCGUGGAAGUGCACUCGAAACUGCUCGGCUAGAGUCUUGGAGAGGAAGGCGGAAUGCUUGGUGUAGAGGUGAAAUGCGUAGAUAUUAGGAGGAACACCGGUGGCGAAGGCGCCUGACUGGACGAUUACUGACGCUGAGGCACGAAAGCGUGGGGAGCAAACAGG
rnacentral:rRNA from 1 species